rnacentral:rRNA from 1 species
GACGAACGCUGGCGGCGUGCUUAACACAUGCAAGUCGAACGGAAAGGCCUCUUCUGAGGUACUCUAGUGGCGAACGGGUGAGUAACACGUGGGUGAUCUGCCCUGCACUCUGGGAUAAACCUGGGAAACUGGGUCUAAUACCGGAUAGGACCAUGCUUUAGUGUGUGGGGUGGAAAGUUUUUUCUGUGUAUGAUGAGCCCGCGGCCUAUCCUCUUGUUGGAUGGGGUAAUGGCCUACCGAGGCGGCUACCGGUAGCCGGACUGAUAGGUUGGUCGGCCACGUUGAUGACUGACAUACAGACCAGACUCCUACGGGAGAGUCCAGUGGGGAAUAUUGCACGAUGGGCGCCAGCCUGAUGCACCAACUCCACGAGGGGGAUGACGGGCUUCAGGAUGGACACUCCAUUCUCCAGCGACGAAGCGUUAUGAGACCGCACCUGAAGAAAAUACACCGGCUAAGUCCGUGUCAACACCCACAGUAAUACGUAAGGAGCUAGCGUUGUCCGGAAUUACUGGUCGGAGACAGCUCGUAUGUGGAUUGUCAAGUCGUCUGUGAAAUUCCACAGCUUAACUGUGGGCGUGCAUGCGAUACUGGCUGACUUGAGUACUGUAGGGGUAACUGGAAUUCCUGGUGUAGCGGUGAAAUGCGCAGAUAUCAGGAGGAACACCGAUGGCGAAGGCAGGUUACUGGGCAGUUACUGACGCUGAGGAGCGAAAGCAUGGGUAGCAAACAGGAUUAGAUACCCUGGUAGUCCAUGCCGUAAACGGUGGGCGCUAGGUGUAGGGACCUUUUGGGGUUUCUGUGCCGUAGCUAACGCAUUAAGCGCCCCGCCUGGGGAGUACGGCCGCAAGGCUAAAACUCAAAGGAAUUGACGGGGGCCCGCACAAGCGGCGGAGCAUGUGGAUUAAUUCGAUGCAACGCGAAGAACCUUACCUGGUCUUGACAUACACUGAAUCGCUGCAGAGAUGUAGUUUCCCUUGUGGCUAGUGUACACGUGGUGCAUGGGUGUCGUCAGCUCGUGUCGUGAGAUGAUGGGUUAAGUCCCGCAACGAGCGCAACCCUUGUCUUAUGUUGCCAGCACAUUAUGGUGGGGACUCAUGAGAGACUGCCGGGGUUAACUCGGAGGAAGGUGGGGACGACGUCAAGUCAUCAUGCCCCUUAUGUACAGGGCUUCACACAUGCUACAAUGGCCGGUACAAUGCGCAGCGAGCCUGUGAGGGUGAGCUAAUUGUUUAAAGCUCGUUUUAGUUUGGAUUGGGGUUUGCAACUCGACCCCAAGAAGUUGGAGUCGCUAGUAAUUGCAGAUCAGCAAUGUUGCGGUGAAUACGUUCCCGGGCCU